GUUUGCUGUGAGGUGGGGCAGGGGGAGGGGGAAAGAUUCAGAGCCCCAGGACUGAAGAUCCAUGUGGUCUUGCCGGUGUGCAUUUAUCUGAUAAAGUGCAGGCAAAGUUUGCCUCUCUCCCACCCCCACUCCACCUCCUCUGAGCCUUGACCGGGUCCAGAACGGACUCCGGAUGGCAGUUGUGGAUGCUCAGAGCACAAAAGGUUUCUUGUUUGCCCAAGGGUCUAUCAGUGUUUAAAUAGAACUGGCGGAAGUGCAGGCGCAGCGUAUCAGCAGCUUAUCGGGGCCCACGGUUUCCAUGUACAUUUGCCAGUCCCUCGAGUUUACCCAGCUCCACCAGCACUGAGUUAAAAAUUGCAAGGCCAGGCUCUAUUGCGCCAAGAUAGAGCAAGGGGGACAAGCCAGUUACCAAGUAUAGGGGUGUACGUGUGUCCUGGAGACCCUAUUUGCAUUCUGCCCAUGUAGAGAAGAAAGCUGUAGUGGCCCGUGUGUUAAGAGGCACCCAGAGAGAAUCAAAGCCUGGUUUAGGGAUGCAUCCAGCAGGUGGGAUGUCGCCAGGCCUCCUGGCAGCAGAGGUACCUCUUGGUGCCCUGGCUCUCCAUCUUAAUUUAACAGGUCUGUAGACGGCUCAGGAAGUGCUUAAAGGAGGUGUCAACUGUGAGCACCUUAAAACUGUAUGUAUGCAGUGUUGGCGUUUGCAAAUGUGUCUGCAAGGGUAUUUCUCUGGGAGCCGAUCCAUGACGCACAGGGCUCAAUGUUCCUGUACUGUUUGAGCUACCUCUUCUUGGGAGGAAAUCUUCAGAACAGAUAGAUGGUAGCCUGCUUUAGAAUGAGUCCUUUCCACUUACAAUCAUCACUUCUACUUUCUAAGCACUUGCUCUUUGUCAGGUGCUGUGUUACCUCAUCUCAUUCUCAGAACAAUCUUAGGAGAUAGGUUUUUGGUGUUUUUUGUUUUUUGGUGAGGAAGAUUGGCCCUGAGUUAACAUCUGUGCCAAUCUUCCUCUAUUUUGUAUGUGGGAUGCUGCCACAGCGUGGCUUGAUGAGUGGUGUGUAAGUCCCCACCUAGGAUCUGAACCUGCAAACCCCAGGCCUCCGAAGCAGAGCACAAACUUAACCACUACGCCACUGGGCCUGCCCCUAGGAGAAUGGAAUUUUUACUCCUGUUUUACAGAUGGAGAAACUGAAGCUUAAAGAGUUGUGCAUUGUCCAAGUCACAGAGCUAAGUAAAUGAUAGAGCCUAGCAUCUGAAUCUGGGUUUUCUGAUCCAUAGGUCUCAGCAUGGUGGAAGGCUGUCUCUCACAUUUCAAUAUACUUGCCUGAGCUUUUCAUAUACUUUGGUUCAUUUGUCAGCUGGCACAGAAUUAUCCCCGAUUUCAGCCAUCUAAAAAUCAGCUUCAUGAAUUUUGUCCUAUUAUGUUGCACCUAUAUUAUUAAAUCACUAUUUAAUUAAAUUCUUUUAUUAAAUGUUACUAAGUUUGUUCUUACUUAACCUCAUUCUAAACGAUAUCCAUGAAAUAACCAUUGAUGUGCUGAUUUCAUUUUUCUUGAAUUCACACUAAAAUAAAUACAUAACCAUUAAAAUGAAAGAUGUUAUGUCCUACCUAACAUCAUUUAAGGUACCGUCAAUGUAUUGGUACCACACUUUGAACAAUCCUGAGGUAAGACGUAAAGGCUGCAUGUCUAGAUUGCAGCAGAAUUGUGGGCAAACCAAAAUAGCCUUUACACCCGACCCCGGGCAGGGCCCGGGCCCCAGCCACCGCUCAGUGUCCAGUGGUGCAGGAGCCUCAGAGAGGGGCCUGGGUUCACUCCAGGGAGGAGCUCUUCCAGUGGAGACCAUGCUCUGCAUCUUUCAGGUCCCGUUUUCACUGCUCUAAUAAGGCAGCAGUGCCAAGAAAAAGAAUGUUAUUUAGCUUGCCUUGAGGGGGUUGAAGAAUUCCAGGAACUGGGGCAAGAAUCUGUACUCAAUGGCUGUGUGCUCCUGUGGGACGGAAUUGCUGGGAUAUUGGGGGUUCCGGAAUAAAUAGCCUCACCAGGGGCAGAAUUUGGGUGGUAAGAGGUCCCAGCCUAUGAUGAAUGAGGCUUCCAACUAAACUCUAUUUCUUCCCAUUUCCAUUGUAACCAAAUGUUCAUCCCUAAAUUCCAUCCCCUCUGGGGCAUAAAUUAAAGGGAAAUUUGGAGUCCUAUUGUCUGAAAUUGUGUAUUCAUUUGACCUACAUUUGCUGUGUCUUUAAUACAAGCAGCUAAAGAAUAAUUCCUAAUUUCCUGACUUCGCUGAUAGACCAGAGAUAUGCUAAGACCCUCAGUAACUGACCAUCCUUGCUUUUCCCCCUAAUAAAGUUGCAUUUUACGUGUUUAACUUCCCAGUCUUGGACGUUUAGCAACUUUGUAAUCUGGCAAUCCCUCUCACAGGCAAAUAAGACAAGGAUGGCAGUGUGCUCGUGCCCUGGGGGUGGAUUCCUAGAGUCUGUCUGCGUUCACUGGCCUGGAGAAAUCAGAGAGUGGGAGAGGUUCUUUUUUGAGGAUCAGUUCACUGGUCCUUGGCUCUCUCUGACGAGGCUCACCUGUAGCAGAAGAGUGGCAUUUGUCUGCCCCACAGCUGGUUUGGUUUCUUGAUCAUUCAGACACGCUGAUUGCCUGCCCACCGGUGCUUCAGGCUGUUUCUAUUUCAGAACCAAGAUGUGAAAGAAAAACUUGCCAAAAAGAAAGAAAGAAAAGUCUGCUCUCAGAUUGGGCUGGGCGGUCAGCAUUCUGACUGUCCUCAUCCUUGUGGUUCAGCAGUAGCUGACCCUGAAGACUCCUCUGGGAACCGAUGUAGUUCUAGUCCUGAAAACAGAAUCCCAGCUCUCUGGGGACGCAGUUCCUAGCCUUCCUCUACUGUCAGUACUCCAAAAGGGCACGGCCUGACCAAGGACUCUCAGGUAUGGCACUGUUAAAAAUGUCUCUUGCCAGCUUUCAGCGUCCUAUCCUGUCCUCCACCGCCACCCCGCCUCCCACCUGGGGACUGUGGCUUGAGCUGACAGGAACACCAGGCACACAGGGAAGGCUGCCAGUCGCAGGAGAUUCCGAGGGAGAUAAAAAGCACAUCUUUGACCACUUCUUUACCAAACAGACCCGAGAUGUGUAAUUAAAGGCCCCAGGACUCUGCUGGAAAUAGGUUUAAACUUGAGGUAAUCCCUUCUGGCACUUCCUCUUCCUAAUAACCAUCAACAAAAAUCAAACAAAUCCACCUGGCUCCAGCCAGUGAGUCUGUAACAGAAAGGUCACGGGAGGAGCGAUAAGAGAAGAAAGCAGCCACAAACAGCGUUACUGGAAACACAUGUCGGGACGUGUUAGAAAGUGACUCCUGCCAGGACCAUCCUGGCCUGUGAUGGGCCCACUCUGCUGUCAGGAAACUCAUUUUCCACCACUGAGAGGAACGUAGAUGAGUCUGGGGAGCCGCCGUGCCUUCCUCUCUUCUCUCUGUAAGAUGUGACUCAGCCAGAGAGAGACCAGAGGAGAGGCCUUUCUUAACAUUCUUUUAAAGUUAAUUUCCUCUUCUUUCCAAAAGUAAUUCAUAGCUGUUAUUGAAAAUACCAUUGAUAAGCAGAACGGAGAAUAUGAUAAUUACCCCUAAUUGUACCGAGUGGUGAUUGCCCCUGCGAAAAUUUUGGUGCAUCUUCUUCUAGUCUGUUUCUGGUACAUGCAUAUGUAUGUAGGUGUAAAAUAUAUAAACACAUAUGAAUGGGAAAGGUAUUUUUAAAACUUUCAAACUGCAUUACAGUGUAAUGCAAAGUAUUUUAGCCCGCUUUUUGUUUCAAUCUGUCUCAAGCGUCUUUUCUUCCCAGUCUUGCGUCACGUCAUUUUCAGUGGCUCCGUGGUACUCCAUCAGCUGACCAUACCAUAAUUUACUUUAAUAAUCUCCUGUUAUUGAGUGUUUAGGUUGUGUCCCAGUUUCCAUCCCUCCUGCUCCCCGUUAAGCCUUGUUGUGAAAACAUUCUGACGAUUGGGGUUUUGGCGGAGAGGGCGGGUGUCAGCUGGUUUGAGCCUGCCCAGGUGAGCUCAGCAGCUCCCACCUCCACCUUGGAGGGGAGGAGACUUUGGAUUUCUCAGAGACAGUUGGACCCUCGCUGGGUGGGCCUGUGCCCGAGGCGCCUUGAGGACAACACAGAGAGCAACGUCCAGGGAGAAGCCAGCUGCCAUGUUGUGUGGAAGCUCAAGCAGCUCUAAGGAGAGGCUCCCAUGGCGAGGAACUUAGGCCUCCUCCCAACAGCCAGCAAGGCACUGCUGUCUUCUGAUCACAGCAAGGUGAGUGAGCCGCCUUGGAAGAGCAACUGCCCUCCCCAGUCAAGCUGCCCCAUGACUGCAGGCCCAGCCAGCGUCUGAACUGCAGCCUCGUGAGAGACCCUG
ensembl:lncRNA